UACGUAGGUGCCAAGCGUUGUCCGGAUUUACUGGGCGUAAAGAGCGCGCAGGCGGUCGUUCAAGUCGAGUGUGAAAGCCCCCGGCUCAACUGGGGAGGGUCAUUCGAUACUGAUCGACUCGAAGGCAGGAGAGGGUAGUGGAAUUCCCGGUGUAGUGGUGAAAUGCGUAGAUAUCGGGAGGAACACCAGUGGCGAAGGCGACUACCUGGCCUGUUCUUGACGCUGAGGCGCGAAAGCUAGGGGAGCAAACGGG
rnacentral:rRNA from 1 species